AUCCACUCGCCUAACGAGUGGGCGUCCGGCGGAAACUACAGGUCUUGGGACCGGAAGACUUGAGGGGUACGUCUGGGGUAGGAGUGAAAUCCUGUAAUCCUGGACGGACCGCCGAUAGCGAAAGCACCUCAAGACGACGGAUCCGACAGUGAGGGACGAAAGCUAGGGUCUCGAACCGGAUUAGAUACCCGGGUAGUCCU
rnacentral:rRNA from 1 species